UUGGGCGUAAGCGCGCGCAGGCGGUUCCUUAAGUCUGAUGUGAAAGCCCCCGGCUCAACCGGGGAGGGUCAUUGGAAACUGGGGAACUUGAGUGCAGAAGAGGAGAGCGGAAUUCCACGUGUAGCGGUGAAAUGCGUAGAGAUGUGGAGGAACACCAGUGGCGAAGGCGGCUCUCUGGUCUGUAACUGACGCUGAGGCGCGAAAGCGUGGGGAGCGAACAGGAUUAGAUACCCUGGUAGUCCACGCCGUAAACGAUGAGUGCUAAGUGUUAGAGGGUUUCCGCCCUUUAGUGCUGCAGCAAACGCAUUAAGCACUCCGCCUGGGGAGUACGGCCGCAAGGCUGAAACUCAAAGGAAUUGACGGGGGCCCGCACAAGCGGUGGAGCAUGUGGUUUAAUUCGAAGCAACGCGAAGAACCUUACCAGGUCUUGACAUCCUCUGACAACCCUAGAGAUAGGGCGUUCCCCUUCGGGGGACAGAGUGACAGGUGGUGCAUGGUUGUCGUCAGCUCGUGUCGUGAGAUGUUGGGUUAAGUCCCGCAACGAGCGCAACCCUUGAUCUUAGUUGCCAGCAUUAAGUUGGGCACUCUAAGGUGACUGCCGGUGACAAACCGGAGGAAGGUGGGGAUGA
rnacentral:rRNA from 1 species